UCCCAACAGACAUCCCUGGUGGACACUUUCCUGCCAGGAAGCCAAGCUGUGGCACCUUCCUGUGGCUCUUCUGCUGCUCUCCAGCCCCAGCUGCUGCCUGAGCCAGGAGCCUUUUGUUAACUAUUUCCUGCUCUGGUUUCCAUGGAAAAUAGAAAGUCACAUGCACCAUCUCCCAAGAGAGGACAGAAAUGCCUCUGGCCUGGAAAUCUCUCUGCCUUUAACAAAUGAGGCCAAAGAGAAAAACCAUCAAGAUGCAAACCAGGGAUUUCAAGUCUAUCUGCUCAAGUGCCACAAACCCUUAAUAUUUUAGAAUAAUCAAGUACUAAAAAAUUCCCAAGCUGUUUAGUUUCAGCUCAUUGCCCCAGGGCUUCUGCUGUCUCCUGGGUAACACCAUCCACCAGCAGGAGACCUGGCAGCAUCCAAAGCCCUCUAAGUGAGAGGUUCAGUGCCCAAAGCUGGGCUGAGAUGUCCAGAAGAGGAGUGCCUGAUUUCAGCUCUUUGCAGUGCUGUUUGAAGCCUGAUUUCAGCACCUUGGAGUCUCAACUUCCGUGAGAUCUGCACUCGCACCAGGCCUCCUCACCCAGCUGGAAGCUAAAAGCAGCUUUGUUUCAGUGGCUUCAGCUGGGCAGCAUUUGCCCCAUGACAUCUGAAGAACGGGGCUCAGCUGAGGUUCAAGGUGCAGGAGUGAGGAGGGAUGUGAGGAAGGCCCCAAGUUGUGAGCAGCUGAGGAACAGGUUCUGUCUUGCACUCCCGCUACAGCCACAUCAGAUGGGCCAUAAAUCAUGGAAUAAUACAGGCAGGAACUGGGACUUGUCUGCUCGGAGUGGAAGCCGUCAAGAAGUGCAUCCUCUCAGCCGGGGCCUGAAUUAGCUGGAACUUUCCUGAAAUUUCCAUUCCAGCUGGAACUUUCCUGAAAUUCUCCGUGCGGGAGCACAGCCUUCCACAAAGGGUCCAACAUAUCCACUGACAAAUGCCCAACAACUGAGAACGUUUAAGACUCACAGUCCCAGAUGAGCCAUUUAAUUAUUGAACAAACUUUCCAGAUGUGCUAAAGAUUCUCUGUGUAAUCACUGGGAUCACGGGGGCCAGGCUGGGUCAGCUCAUCCCAGAGUCUUUAGGGCUGGUGCUAAAGAUUCUCUGUGUAAUCACUGGGAUCACGGGGCCCAGGCUGGGUCAGCUCAUCCCAGAGUCUUUAGGGCUGCCAUGCAGGAAACACAUCCCAGUCCUUCAGCACUUGCUAAGGCUUCAGCAAGAUGUGCUCCAAGUGUGGCUACUAAACCAAGUGUAGUCUUGGAAAUAUUCCCAAACCAUCAAUCUCAGUGACAAUUAGGUAAGAAAUAUGAAUCCGUUGUUAUCAGUUCAGAGUUUUUCCAGUAACUUUCUACUUAAUCUUUGGAAUGUGCACUAUUCAAAGAGAGAGGAACACAGAUUUAAUUGGGAUGGGAACAAAUGCAUAAGCCCAAUAUAAUUUGACUUUAAGGAAUGAUCCCAGUAUUUAAAACAUAUCAGUUUUGUCCUCCACCUCAGUUAUUAAUAGCAUAGGUGCAAAAGCAAUCAGCCACUUCUCUUGGGAUGACCCAAAGCUGCUGGGGUUGUGUGGGGAUCUGGAAGGGUAUUUGGGCACCUGCAGGUCAGAACAUUGUGUGCAGAUGCCCUGCUGAAUGCAGCCUG